UUUGAUCCAGCCAGGGAGUAAGUUCACUAUGCUGCCAGGACUCCCAUCAAUGAGAGUACCCUGAGCUAUUUUUGGUUGAGCAGGUACUACAAGGCCAGUCAUUUGUACUUCUUUUUCUUAACUUUCUGUCCUUUA